rnacentral:rRNA from 1 species
AGAGUUUGAUCAUGGCUCAGGAUGAACGCUGGCGGUAUGCCUAACACAUGCAAGUCGUACGAGAGUUUUUAACUCUAGUGGCGGACGGGUGAGUAACACGUAAGAAUUUACCUUCAGGAGGGGGAUAACAAUUGGAAACAAAUGCUAAUACCCCAUAUGCUUUCGAGUGAAAUGGAUUUAUAUUUAUCCGCCUAAAGAGAAGCUUGCGUCUGAUUAGCUUGUNGGUAAGGUAAAAGCUUACCAAGGCGACGAUCAGUAUCUGGUUNGAGAGGACGAUCAGACACACUGGAACU